GAAUCCUACGAGCAAAGAAAGGUGCCGCAGCGGAGGAGUACAAUGCCUACUUCUACUCGCUCGUGUCUCAGGACACGCAGGAGAUGCAUUUCAGCCAGAAGAGACAGCGGUUUCUCGUCAACCAGGGGUACAGCUACAAGGUGAUCACCAAGCUGGCGGGGAUGGAUGAGGAGGACCUCGCGUUUGCGACGAAGGAGGAGCAGACUCAGAUGCUGCAGAAGGUGCUGGCUGCUUCGGAGACGGACGCCGAGGAGGAGCGCAUGAUGGGAGAAGGCAGAGACUUCAGUGGCAGUAGG